rnacentral:rRNA from 1 species
AUUGAACGCUGGCGGCAGGCCUAACACAUGCAAGUCGAACGCGUGGCGGACGGGUGAGUAAUGUCUGGGAAACUGCCUGAUGGAGGGGGAUAACUAAUGGAAACGGUAGCUAAUACCGCAUACCAUGAGCUGUGCCCCGAUGGGAUUCGCUUGUGGGUGGGGUAACGGCUAACCAAGGCGACAGUCCAUAGCUGGUCUGAGAGGAUGACCAGCCACACUGGAACUGAGACACGGUCCAGACUCCUACGGGAGGCAGCAGUGGGGAAUAUUGCACAAUGGGCGCAAGCCUGAUGCAGCCAUGCCGCGUGUAUGAAGAAGGCCUUCGGGUUGUAAAGUACUUUCAGCGGGGAGGCGUUACCCGCAGAAGAAGCACCGGCUAACUCCGUGCCAGCAGCCGCGGUAAUAC